GACAAACGCUGGCGGCAUGCCUAACACAUGCAAGUCGAACGGACAGAACAGGGAAGCUUUUCGGAGUGGAACUGGAAAGUUAGUGGCGGAUGGGUGAGUAACGCGUGGACAACCUACCUUGUAAAGGGGAAUAACCUCGAGAAAUCGAAGCUAAUACCCCAUAAUAACCUUGCUUCGCAUGAAGUAAGGAGGAAAGGCGGCCUUAGCGCUGUCGAUACAAGAUGGGUCCGCGUCUGAUUAGCUAGUUGGUGAGGUAAAGGCUCACCAAGGCGACGAUCAGUAGCCGGCCUGAGAGGGUGAACGGCCACAUUGGGACUGAGACACGGCCCAAACUCCUACGGGAGGCAGCAGUGGGGAAUCUCCCGCAAUGGGCGAAAGCCUGACGGAGCAAUGCCGCGUGAGUGAAGAAGGCCUUCGGGUUGUAAAACUCUGUCCUUAUCGAAGAGAGAGUGUUGUAGUAACUGACAAUACUAGGACGGUAGAUGAGGAGGAAGCCCCGGCUAACUAUGUG
rnacentral:rRNA from 1 species